rnacentral:pre_miRNA from 1 species
UAAACAAUCGGAAAGAAUAAACACAAAUUCGGGACGUAUGUGUCUGUUUUCGUCCCGAAUUUGUGUUUAUUCUUUCCGAUUGUUU